AUUGAACGCUGGCGGCAGGCUUAACACAUGCAAGUCGAGCGGGGGAGGUUGCUUCGGUAACUGACCUAGCGGCGGACGGGUGAGUAAUGCUUAGGAAUCUGCCUAUUAGUGGGGGACAACAUUCCGAAAGGGAUGCUAAUACCGCGUACGCCCUACGGGGGAAAGCAGGGGAUCUUCGGACCUUGCGCUAAUAGAUGAGCCUAAGUCGGAUUAGCUAGUUGGGGGGGUAAAGGCCUACCAAGGCGACGAUCUGUAGCGGGUCUGAGAGGAUGAUCCGCCACACUGGGACUGAGACACGGCCCAGACUCCUACGGGAGGCAGCAGUGGAGAAUAUUGGACAAUGGGCGGAAGCCUGAUCCAGCCAUGCCGCGUGUGUGAAGAAGGCCUUUUGGUUGUAAAGCACUUUAAGCGAGGAGGAGGCUACUAGUACUAAUACUACUGGAUAGUGGACGUUACUCGCAGAAUAAGCACCGGCUAACUCUGUGCCAGCAGCCGCAGUAAGAC
rnacentral:rRNA from 1 species